CCGGAGCUGGACUGCACGCGACACGGCAAGUGAGGCGGCAAAGCACAGAUUUGAAAUCCCCCCGGGGAGUUGUAAUUUGAAGAUUGCGUCUUGGAGGCGACCGUGUCUAUGUUCCUUGGAACAGGACGUCACAGAGGGUGAGAAUCCCGUGCGGCACGGCCCCCGGCUCCUUAUAAGGCGCUCUCGACGAGUCGAGUUGUUUGGGAAUGCAGCUCAAAGUGGGUGGUAAAUUCCAUCUAAAGCUAAAUACAGGCGAGAGACCGAUAGCGAACAAGUACAGUGAUGGAAAGAUGAAAAGCACUUUGAAAAGAGAGUGAAACAGCACGUGAAAUUGUUGAAAGGGAAGGGCAUGCCGUCAGAUUGUCAGUGUGGGUAAGAAGCGGGGUACAAAGACUGUGGAACGUGGCCCUCGGGUGUUAUAGCCGCAGUUCAUGCCCCGUCUCUUUCCGAGGCCUGCUUUGAGGACACCGACGUAAUGACGGUACGCCGCCCGUCUUGAACCACGGGACCAAAACUUUCCCCGACGCCG
rnacentral:rRNA from 1 species